AUUGAACGCUGGCGGCAGGCUUAACACAUGCAAGUCGAGCGAGCGGCGGACGGGUGAAUAAUGUCUGGGAAACUGCCUGAUGGAGGGGGAUAACUCCUGGAAACGGUAGCUAAUACCGCAUACCAUCAGAUGUGCCCAGAUGGGAUUAGCGAGUAGGUGGGGUAAUGGCACACCUAGGCGACGAUGCCGCGCUGGUCUGAGAGGAUGACCAGCCACACUGGAACGGAGACACGGUCCAGACUACUACGGGAGGCAGCAGUGGGGAAUAUGGCACAAUGGGCGCAAGCCUGAUGCAGCCAUGCCGCGUGUGUGAAGAAGGCCUUCGGGUUGUAAAGCACUUUCAGCGAGGAGGCGUUACUCGCAGAAGAAGCACCGGUUAACUCCGUGCCAGCAGCCGCGGUAAUAC
rnacentral:rRNA from 1 species